UAAAAGCCUAAGUAGUGUUUCCA
rnacentral:siRNA from 1 species